rnacentral:rRNA from 1 species
GAUGAACGCUGGCGGCGUGCCUAAUACAUGCAAGUCGAGCGAACGGACGAGAAGCUUGCUUCUCUGAUGUUAGCGGCGGACGGGUGAGUAACACGUGGAUAACCUACCUAUAAGACUGGGAUAACUUCGGGAAACCGGAGCUAAUACCGGAUAAUAUUUUGAACCGCAUGGUUCAAAAGUGAAGGACGGUCUUGCUGUCACUUAUAGAUGGAUCCGCGCUGCAUUAGCUAGUUGGUAAGGUAACGGCUUACCAAGGCAACGAUGCAUAGCCGACCUGAGAGGGUGAUCGGCCAAACUGGAACUGAGACACGGUCCAGACUCCUACGGGAGGCAGCAGUAGGGAAUCUUCCGCAAUGGGCGAAAGCCUGACGGAGCAACGCCGCGUGAGUGAUGAAGGUCUUCGGAUCGUAAAACUCUGUUAUUAGGGAAGAACAUAUGUGUAAGUAACUGUGCACAUCUUGACGGUACCUAAUCAGAAAGCCACGGCUAACUACGUG